AUGAAAAUUGCAUUCAUUUCCUUCCUCAAGGCUUCUCAGCCUUGGUGGGUGACAGCCCAGGGGAUGGGGAUCCAGUCAUCCCCCAAUAAGGAUAUCUCCUGCCUCUUUCUCCCUGCCCACCCUCAUCACUUUAAGUCCCUUUGUAGGCUGCAACCCCAGUGUUUGAGCCCAGUUACCUGCUGCCCAUGUGUCACACAGACCUUCCUCACCAGAGGAGUCACCUCACGCGUGCUGGUGGCUCUGGGACCCUGUUCCACCCAAUGCUGCCUGCAGCAAGGCCACCUCUGCCAGCUGCGUGUUUCCACCGCGAAUUUCCACGAGCCUCCAAACAGAUCUGGCUCCUUCCUACAUUCUGGGAGAAAUGUCCAGGACUUGUUAUUUUUGGCCUCUGUUUUUAAUUUGUUUCUUUGUUGUUGGGUCUCUGCUCAUGAAAUCUGUAUGUUGAGGAGCUCCUCACUGUGCUCAGGCUGUGUAUGGAAGCUGAGGGAAUAAUGCAAUUGUAUACCUCUACAGUCAAAAUGUGUUUUCGAUCCUUAUCUAUUCUGCAUCCAUGAACAUUUCAAGGGAUGGAGUUAAGGUGGAUGUGCUGGUAUCACCCCCAGCUGCGUCGAUGGUCUCGGACUUUACUGGGUGCAGCCAAGACAGCGAUCUCAGAAUAUAUCCAACACGGUAUGACAUAAAAAAUAGCAGAAAAAGCCAGACGAGGUCUGACUGUUUCACUAUUGCAUCUGAUGCAUGCCUGCAGCCAGAGACUUACCAUAGGGGAAUGGGGCUGGAUAAAGCUGUGGUUCAAACUAAGAGAAAUUCAUUGAAGAGUUAAAAACAAUUAAAAAAAAACACAAUUUUUUGAUGAAUUUUUUUUUCAUUUUACAUUUUUCUAAAAUUCACAGAUCUUCUUGAUCUGUUUGCAUCCCCUCCCUCUGUAAAUCCUCAAGCUGUUUUCCUGGUUAUCAUUACCAUGCUUAUCACAAAGAGGAAAGGGAAUAGCACCCUGGACCGAAAUUCCCAAUGCAGCCCAUGUUUUCUGCUGGGUAUCAUGUGCUCUCUGGCUCCAACCCUUGAGGAGGCAUCCCAUGGAGAUGAAGCAGAUGUGAACUAUGAAUAAAUUUAGAAAGGAUGUCCUAUGGAAUAGAUGA
rnacentral:lncRNA from 1 species